UUUUUCAACCCCAAUGCUAAGGUAGAUUGUGAUAUUAUCUUAAUGCUUUCUAUUCUGUUUUCAUCUCACACUUAGUGAAGUUGCACUGUCUUAUUAUGCUUUUGUGGGUUGUCCUGCUUACUUUAUGCGUUCACAUUAAAAGAAAAUUAAAAAAAAAAUGCGAAGGUUUUGAAGAGAAUGAAAUAUUUUUCUAUUACUGCCCCUUUUCAG
rnacentral:misc_RNA from 1 species